AACGAACGCUGGCGGCGCGCCUAAUACAUGCAAGCCGAGCGAGAAGACGUAGCAAUACGUUUGUAAAGCGGCGAACGGGUGAGGAAUACAUGGGUAACCUACCCUCGAGUGGGGAAUAACUAGCCGAAAGGUUAGCUAAUACCGCGUACGCUCCUUGGACUUCGGUUCAGGGAGGAAAGCGAUACCGUGGGUAUCGCGCUCUUGGAUGGGCUCAUGUCCUAUCAGCUUGUUGGUGAGGAACGGCUCACCAAGGCUUCGACGGGUAGCUGGUCUGAGAGGACGAUCAGCCACACUAGCACUGCGACACGGGCCAGACUCCUACGGGAGGCAGCAGUGGGGAAUCUUGCGCAAUGGGCGAAAGCCUGACGCAGCGACGCCGCGUGAGGGAUGACGGCCU
rnacentral:rRNA from 1 species